rnacentral:lncRNA from 1 species
GCAAAAUGAAGGGAAGGGGAGAUUUGAAAAUCCUUUAUGCACUAUCGAAUAAUUUGGAUCGAUUAACAGAGAUGAACUCCUUUUUGGUGACAGUUUGAUAUUCUUUGGGAUGCAUUGUCUGGUCAAGAGCACCUACACUUGUUUGCCAGUAUCAAAGGUCUGACGCCUGCUUCCAUUGUGUCGGUACGUUCUGUACAAACCUAAGUGAUCUUUACAAAAUAAACAACUUUUUACUUGUGAAAAGUCUGAGAUAUGGGUUUUUUUGUCAAAAUAAUAGGUUGUGCAGAAAUUAAUAGCAGAAGUAAAACUUACUGAGGCAGCCAAGAUGAGAGCUGGUAGCUAUAGUGGCGGAAUGAGACGUCGUCUUAGUGUUGCUAUUGCCCUUAUUGGUGAACCAAAGUUGGUCAUUUUGGAUGAACCGGUUGGUAGACAGAAUAUUUCUCAUUCUUCUUUUAUAAUUUUUAAUUGGUUCUCUGCUUGCAAUUUUAUAUGAGUUUUUACUUUGAACCUGUAGACCACUGGGAUGGAUCCAAUAACUAGAAGACACGUGUGGGAUGUAAUUGAAGAGGCUAAAAAAGGGCGUGCCAUUAUUCUAACUACUCAUUCGAUGGAAGAAGCUGACAUCUUAAGUGACAGGAUAGGAAUUAUGGCAAAGGGUAGGCUUCGCUGCAUUGGAACUUCAAUAAGGUUGAAGUCGCGGUUUGGAACUGGUUUCAUUGCUACUAUAAGCUUUUCCGGGGAUGUUAAUGGUACCCCAAACAGAGGGGAUGCGUUUGAUACCACUCAACAUGAAGCUGUUAAACAGUUCUUUAAAUCAGUAAGUCAAAUAUUAGCUAGUUAUAAUAUUCCCGGAAGCAUAUAAACUGUUUCUUACAUGUAAUUUUAUUUGCAGUAUUUGAAUGUUAUGCCUAAGGAGGAAAGCAAGUCUUUCCUGACUUUUGUUAUUCCUCAUGAAAAAGAGAAGCUAUUGACGGUACAAAACCCUCACUUUGUCAACUGUUCCUUAUUUCAAUCGUUAAUGUAUGAUUUUAAUGAAAAAUUCAAAGGUUAAUAAUGCAAAAAGGGUUCAAAAAUAAAAAGAGACACAAUUAAAAUGGGUUUUAAAAAUUUAUCGUACUAACGUACUUAUUUGGAUAAAAAUUCUAUCAGAAAUUUUUUGAGGAGCUCCAAGAGAAAGUGAAAGAAUACGGCAUAGCAGACAUCCAACUUGGUCUUACAACUUUGGAAGAAGUUUUUCUGAAUAUAGUAAAACAGGCUGAAUUGGAAAGUGCUGCGUCUGAGGGAAGCUUUGCAACUAUGACUCUAAACUCAGGAAUUUCAGUUCAGGUAAAGCAUAUUUGCAUUACUCAGUUCAUACUAGUGUAAGUGUGUCCAGCUAAGCCUAAAAAAUACUUAAUAAAUAAAUAAUUUUCUUGUUGGUACAAUUUUAAUUUUUUUUUGCCGGAAAAUCCACUUGAACUUGGGCGAGUUUUAGGUUGACUCAACUAAGCCAAGUGGUUGCCCUCCUGCCCAGAUAUUGAUAGAAAGGAUUAUUACAUAGAGGGGGACGUGGACCUUACCUCCUAGUUGAACAAAUGAGGAGUUUAGAUCAGCUAAAUUACUAAAUUCAACAACGAAUUAAGUGAGCAGACUAACAAACCCUUUGUGUCCUUGGCGAUUAUUUACACUCUUAAAGUUGGAAGCCCCUUAUAUCUGGGCGCAAAAUUCUUUUGAUUUCACCAGUUAGCUCUUGAGGGUAUAGUAGCUUGAACUGCCUUUCUUUAUACUCAGUAUGAGCCACCAAUCAGUGACCCCAUUACUUUCUCUCCAAAAGGCAACAGCAUCGCUUUGAAACUAUCAUUCUUCCGCUAAUAUUGAAUUUCCUCCAACUGGUAUUGUACUCUGCACGGCCAUGUAGAUUGUUUGCAAAUUAAUUUAAUAGAGGCCUUGGAAAGAACCUCCAUACUUCCUUAGCAACAAUGCCAUAUAAUAGCACAUGUUCAACUAAUUCAUAUUUUGCCACCGGAACUUACAAGUUCUGCUAAUUUUCAUUAUAAUUUGCACCUCUUCUGUCUAAUGUCAAUAAGUCGUGCCAUGUUUUCCAUGUGAAAAAUGAGACCUUUAAAGUGAUAAAUUUCUUCCAUAUUUAUUUGUCCAAGGAUUUGAUAUUUAUCCUUUGCCCAAGUACUUCCAACAUAGAGCACUAGAGGCUCCAUUGCUAAUUAGUUUGCAGUAGAUUAUGUCAUGGCCUUUAAUAUAAGGAGGAAUUCUUAUUAUAUCUUCGAUCAUACAAUUAAGCUGUAAAGUAUUAAGCGUACCUACAUCCAAAGCUGCUCUCUUUCAUAAGUUGAACAGUUAUGAGUUAGUGCUCCGAUUGUCAGACCAAAAGGAAAUAUUUCCCAGCCUCAGUUUCCAAAAUACGUGGUUCUGAUGCUUCCCUAACGGCUAGAAGUCUCUUCCAAACAGACAAGUCUUUCCCUUAGUUUGAUCUUGACAAGGAUGAUAAUUUUGACAAUACCUAGAUUUAGUAUCCCGAACGCAGUUUGUGCCCUAAAUUUCCACCAGAGCUUCCAUGAAAGAAGUAAGUUAAUUAUUUUGAAAGUAAAUUUUAUCUUAAUGCGCAGGUACCUGUAGGUGCGAGGUUUGUUGGGGUUCCAGGAACUGAAUCUACAGAAAAUCCAAGAGGAAUUAUGGUAGAGGUAUAUUGGGAACAAGAUGAUGCCGGAGCACUCUGCAUUUCCGGUCACUCAGAUGAGACACCAAUCCCUCCUCAUGUACAACUAAGAGCAACAUCUGCUCCCACAUCUGGCAUAAGUAUUUUGGGCCGAAGACAGCAAAUUCAUGGAAUUGUAAUUGACCCUGACCAAAUCACCAAUUCAAAUAUGUGAUCUUUGUUGAAAUGUUAUCUAGUAGGAUAUUUAGUGUACACAAUAAUUAGAAAUGGUGUUGAGAAUCAAUUUUCUUUUUUUUUUUCCCCUGUAUCUUUGCAUAAACAUAGGAUGUAUCAUUCCUUUUCCAGCCAACAUUAUAUGCUUGUAAUAUUUAAAAAGUUAUAUACUAGGGCAAUAUUCAGAAAUAAAUAGAAGUUUGAAAUUCAAUGCAUUGUUCACUAUUGUCCAAUCAUGUAGAUUGGACAUGCACUUAGUACUUUUUUUUGAGAAUUCCCAAGAAA